rnacentral:lncRNA from 1 species
CUCCAGAGCUGAGGUGGAGCACCCCCCUCUAAAAAUACCUGCACAGGUGCCAUUGUGAUGCAGUGAAAAAGAAAGAAUCCACUGGUUUUAAAGAAGUUGCUACUGUGCUGCAGGCUGGAUGAAGCAGAGGCUGGAAGGUGCCAAUCCUGGCCCUGACACGGUGCUGACGGGAAGCUGGGAGCUGUCAGAAAGACAUAUAUUUCUACAGCCUCUUUCUUAGUGCUGUUUUUCCAGAUUUGGUCUUCAGGCUAAGCUGGGACUUCACUGUGUUGUGGACCCAUCUUGCAGCUCUGCCACCUGAUGUCCAGUAGUACAAACAUCCAGGAGCUUCUGCCUGGAAACAGUGAACCUCACUUGGACUGGAGCAGCUUUUAUCCUGCUGUUGAUGUUGGCUGGAUGGAGGAGCUUGAUCUUAUGGUCAGAUGGAGGAAGAGACAGGAGACAAAACCAGAAGGGAACAUUCAGAAAAGAGAGUUCAUCCAUCAGUUCCAGCCUCCAACUAAGCCGGGGACAUGUGGAUCUGACUUGGUGAAUCUUUGGAAGAGUGCAGAUAUGAAAAUUCCAGUUUGAGGAAGCCAGAGCUUUGAUUGUUGACCUUUGCUUGUUGGUGAAAUCUUAAAACUCCAUUUCUUCUUGGCAUCUCCUCAGCCAUUUUCUGCACGAUUUAUGCUCCAAGAAGAGCAGGGCUUGUUCCCAUGAUGAUAAUAA